AUUGAACGCUGGCGGCAUGCCUUACACAUGCAAGUUGAACGGCAGCACGGGUGCUUGCCCCUGGUGGCGAGUGGCGAACGGGUGAGUAAUACAUCGGAACAUGUCCUGUAGUGGGGGAUAGCCCGGCGAAAGCCGGAUUAAUACCGCAUACGAUCCACGGAUGAAAGCGGGGGACCUUCGGGCCUCGCGCUAUAGGGUUGGCCGAUGGCUGAUUAGCUAGUUGGUGGGGUAAAGGCCUACCAAGGCGACGAUCAGUAGCUGGUCUGAGAGGACGACCAGCCACACUGGGACUGAGACACGGCCCAGACUCCUACGGGAGGCAGCAGUGGGGAAUUUUGGACAAUGGGCGAAAGCCUGAUCCAGCAAUGCCGCGUGUGUGAAGAAGGCCUUCGGGUUGUAAAGCACUUUUGUCCGGAAAGAAAUCCUUGACUCUAAUACAGUCGGGGGAUGACGGUACCGGAAGAAUAAGCACCGGCUAACUACGUG
rnacentral:rRNA from 1 species